AGGAAGCAAAAAAUAAAUAUAACAAUUGAUCCACUGAAUUAUUCUAGUGGAGAAAAAUGCAGUAAGAUAAUUUUAUAAAUAUUCAAUAACCACAACAACAGAUGAUUGUAAAUAGAUAUCAUAAAAUAUUUCAACAACACAGACUAAAUAUUAUUCAUUUUUCACCUGAAACACAUGAUGCAUUAAUCCCCCCCUGAAAUUUCUUGAGGAUAGCUAAGUUUUAAAUACAUCAUAACAUGUGUAUAAUGCUUUACAUUUCUUUUUAUUUUUUACAGUUUUUAAAUGCUUAACAUUCACCCAGUGUUUGCUUUGUCAAUGAAACAUUAUUAGUGAACUGUAUAGUUUCCACAAAACAAACCAUAAUAACACCAAUAGAAUUUUAGAUUGAGUGGGAAUUAUCUUGCCCAUUUUUUUUCUUAGCAUUGACUAACAUGUAUGGUAGUUGGCACACCUUUAUGAACUCAAUGAUACACAACCCUUAAGCUAAAUUUGAUUAUAUAGUUACUUUCUGUAAAACUGAUGUUGAAUGCACUUUUAAAAAGAAAGAUUUCUCAAGUACAAUUGAAUAGGAUGGUAGUUUAUUAAAGGAGUUGCAUAAUGUGUGAGCACUUUUAAAUCUGGCUGUUUCAUGAUACUUGAAAACUUGAAAGUUGUAAACGACUGGGGAUAUGUAAACACAACAAUAUGUGUGUUCUUAUUUCAUGUAUUUUAUAUUUUGUAUUUUAUUAUAUUUUAGAUUCCUUCUUUUUAAAAGUGCAUUCGUUAUCAGUCUUACAGGAAGUAGAUGUUUUACAGAUGUGGUCACAUUUUACAUCUUAUAACUGUUAUGUUGCCUCUUUACUAUGGAGUCAUUCUGUUUAGUAGGACCCAUGUCAAAUGUGACAGAAAUAUUUGCUGAAUGAAGAGACAGGUACACAGAUAAGGUGUUUUAAUAUUUUGAUUUUUCCCCUGAUUACUCUAUAGACAAAUGAUAGGUAAAAAAAAAGCCCUUAAUUACUAAACCUCAGUAAUAAUCAUCCUAUUGUGGUAUGGAACCUUGUGCUUACAUUUCAUAGAAAUCCAUACACUUUAACUCACGUUGUUGUCUGUGAACCAAAAUGUCUUUAAAUAAAGAUGCAGACAUUGACAUAGCUUAAAACGAAGGCAUUGAUUUUGCAACCUUUAAAAAUGAAAUAAUAAAUUAUUUUUGUUGAUAACGUAUAAAAAAUAUAAUUUAAAUACAAUAUAUAAUCUAUAUACAAAAUAUGAUCUAUAUCAGAUAAAACUCAUUAUUCAUCCUAUUAGUGUAAUUGACAUAUAUACAAUUAACAAAUGAAACUAGAGGCUCUAAAGAGCCUGUGUAGCUCACCUUGGUCUAUGUGAAUAUUAAACAAAGGACGCAGAUGGAUUCAUGACAAAAUUUUGUUUUGGUGACGGUGAUGUGUUUGUACAUCUUACUUUACUGAACAUUCUUGCUGCUUACAAUUAUCUCUAUCUAUAAUGAACUUGGCCCAGUAGUUUCAGAGGAGAAGAUUAUUGUAAAAGAUUACUAAGAUUUACGAAAAAUGGUUAAAAAUUGACUAUAAAGGGCAAUAACUCCUAAAGGGGUCAACUGACCAUUUCGGUCAUGUUGACUUAUUUGUAGAUCUUACUUUGCUGACAUUUAUUGCUUUUUACAGUUUAUCUCAUCUAUAAUAAUAUUCAAGAUAAUAACCAAAAAACAGCAAAAUUUCCUUAAAAUUACCAAUUCAGGGGCAGCAACCCAACAACGGGUUGUCCGAUUCAUCUGAAAAUUUCAGGGCAGAUAGAUCUUGACCUGAAAAACAAUGUUACUACUUGUCAGAUUUACUUUAAAUGCUUUGGUUUUUGAGUUAUAAGCCAAAAACUGCAUUUUACCCCUAUGUUCUAUUUUUAGCCAUGGCGGCCAUCUUGGUUGGUUGGCCGGGUCACGCCACACAUUUUUUAAACUAGAUACCCCAAUGAUGAUUGUGGCCAAGUUUGGUUUCAUUUGGCCCAGUAGUUUCAGAGGAGAAGAUUUUUGUAAAAAAUUACUAAGAUUUACGAAAAAUGGUUAAAAAUUGACUAUAAAGGGCAGUAACUCCUAAAGGGGCCAACUGACCAUUUUGGUCAUAUUGACUUAUUUGUAAAUCUUACUUUGCUGAACAUUAUUGUUGUUUACAGUUUAUCUCUAUCUAUAAUAAUAUUCAAGAUAAUAACCAAAAACAGCAAAAAUUCCCUAAAAUUACCAAUUCAGGGGCAGCAACCCAACAACAGGUUGUCGGAUUCAUCUGAAAAUUUCAGGGCAGAUAGAUCUUGACCUGAUAAACAUUUUUACCCCAUGUCAGAUUUGCUCUAAAUGCUUUGGUUUUUGAGUUAUAAGCCGAAAACUGCAUUUUACCCCUAUGUUCUAUUUUUAGCCAUGGCGGCCAUCUUGGUUGGUUGGCCGGGUCACGCCACACAUUUUUUAAACUACAUACCCUAAUGAUGAUUGUGGCCAAGUUUGGUUUAAUUUGGCCCAGUAGUUUCAGAGGAGAAGAUUUUUGUAAAAGUUAACGACGACGGACGACGACGACGACGGACGCCAAGUGAUGAGAAAAGCUCACUUGACCCUUUGGGCCAGGUGAGCUAAAAAGUGAUUUUACUGACCAUUAGGUAGUACAUGUAUAGAUGAAAUGUGUGUGAAAAUGUCAUGGAUAAGUGAACUGGUAAAUAUGAGCUAUAUUUAUAUAAAUGUUAUACCUAUACCUUGUACAGCAUGACAUAACAACAAUAAUGAAAUCAGAAUUUUCUUAAAAUUACCAAUUCAGGGGCAGCCACCCAACAAGUUGCCUGAAAGGUCUGAAAAUUUUAGGGCAGAUAGAUCUUGACCAAAUAACAAGAUUUGCUCUACUUGCUUUGGUUUCAGAGAUAUUCACAAAAAAACUGCAUUUUACCGGAUGUACUAUUUUUACCCAUGUCAUCCAUCUUGGUAUGUGGGCGGUGUUAUCAGACACAAUUUUAAAACUAAAUACCCUAAUGAUUAAUGGUGAUGGUUGCAGCCAAGUUUGGUUAAAUUUGUCUUAGUAGUUUCAGAGUAGAAGAUUUUUUAAAAAGAUUACAAAAAUUUACCAAAAAAGUCUCCAAAACAAAGCCCCCAUAACUUGCCAUUCAUAUGGUCCCAUAUUCAUUUGAAAUGGAAUGUCCCAUACAAGAAUAUAUAUGGCUUAGGGGUGGGGAUCUCCACCAUUUACAAG
rnacentral:lncRNA from 1 species